CCUACGGGAGGCAGCAGUGAGGAAUAUUGGUCAAUGGACGCAAGUCUGAACCAGCCAUGCCGCGUGCAGGAAGACGGCUCUAUGAGUUGUAAACUGCUUUUGUACGAGGGUAAACGCAGAUACGCGUAUCUGUCUGAAAGUAUCGUACGAAUAAGGAUCGGCUAACUCCGUGCCAGCAGCCGCGGUAAUACGGAGGAUUCAAGCGUUAUCCGGAUUUAUUGGGUUUAAAGGGUGCGUAGGCGGUCGGAUAAGUUACAGGUGAAAGCCCGAGGCUCAACUUCGGAAUUGCCUCUGAUACUGUUCGGCUAGAGAGUAGGUGCGGUAGGCGGAAUGUAUGGUGGAGCGGUGAAAUGCUUAGAGAUCAUACAGAACACCGAUUGCGAAGGCAGCUUACCAAGCUACUUCUGACGUUGAGGCACGAAAGCGUGGGGAGCAAACAGGAUUAGAUACCCUUGUAGUC
rnacentral:rRNA from 1 species